rnacentral:snRNA from 1 species
GUGCUCAAUUUGGGCAGCACAUGUACUAAAAUUGGAAUGAUACAGAAAAGAUUAGCAUGGUCCCUGCACAAGGAUGACACGCAAAUUCGUGAAGCGUUCCCAUAUUUU